AUUGAACGCUGGCGGCAGGCCUAACACAUGCAAGUCGAGCGAGCGGCGGACGGGUGAGUAAUGUAUGGGGACUGCCCGAUAGAGGGGGCUAACUACUGGAAACAGUGGAUAAUACCGCAUACUCUCGGAUAACCCAUAUGGGAUUAGCUAGUAGGUGGGGUAAAGGCCCCCCUAGGCGACGAUCUCUAGCUGGUCUGAGAGGAUGAUCGGCCCAAGUGGGACUGCGACACGGCCCAGACUCCUACGGAGGCAGCAGUGGGGAAUAUUGCCCAAUGGGCGCAAGUCUGAUGCAGCCAUGCCGCGUGUAUGAAGAAGGCCUUAGGGUUGUAAAGGUCUUUCAGCAGGGAAGCGUUACCCGCAGAAGAAGCAACGGCUAACUCCGUGCCAGCAGCCGCGGUAAUAC
rnacentral:rRNA from 1 species